rnacentral:rRNA from 1 species
AAGAUGAAAAGCACUUUGGAAAGAGAGGUAAAAAGCACGUGAAAUUGUUGAAAGGGAAGCGCUUGCGACCAGACCUGCCCGUGGGCGAUCAACCCCCGUUCUCGGUGGUGCACUCGUCGGCGAGCAGGCCAGCAUCGGUUUGGGCGGUCGGACAAAGGCCUUGGGAAUGUAGCUCCCCUCGGGGAGUCCUUAUAGCCCUCGGUGCAAUGCGGCCAGCCCGGAUCRAGGACCGCGCUUCGGCUAGGAUGCUGGCGUAAUAGUUGCAAGCGACCCGUCUUGAAACACGGACCAAGGAGUCUAACAUCUAUGCGAGUGUUUGGGUGUCAAACCCAUGCGCGCAAUGAAAGUGAACGGAGGUGAGAACCCGUUAGGGUGCAUCAUCGACCGAUCCUGAUGUCUUCGGAUGGAUUUGAGUACGAGCAUAAAUGUUGGGACCCGAAAGAUGGUGAACUAUGCCUGAAUAGGGUGAAGCCAGAGAAA